CUUGUAUGCCUCGUUAAAGCCAGCAAGCUUUAUAACUGCUUCUAAACCACCAGACUGGCGGUACAUGAUGGGACCUGGAUUAUAUUUUAGAUGCAGGAUCGGAUCCUUGAUUGCCUCAGUGAAAAAAACUACAGGCGGACUGUGAUGAGUCUAAUUACCAUGGCGUAUUGAUGCAAAGAUUGAGACAGUAGGAAGAAGGAAAAAAAAAAAGGACAUUUACUGGGGAUCAAUCAAUG